rnacentral:rRNA from 1 species
UACAGAGGUCUCAAGCGUUGUUCGGAUUCAUUGGGCGUAAAGGGUGCGUAGGCGGAUCGUUAAGUCGGGGGUGAAAUCCUGGAGCUCAACUCCAGAACUGCCUUCGAUACUGGCGAUCUUGAGUCCGGAAGAGGUGAGUGGAACUCCUAGUGUAGAGGUGGAAUUCGUAGAUAUUAGGAAGAACACCAGUGGCAAAGGCGGCUCACUGGUCCGGUACUGACGCUGAGGUGCGAAAGCGUGGGGAGCAAACAGG